AGCAGUCGCCGCGGUAAUACGAAGGGUGCAAGCGUUAAUCGGAAUUACUGGGCGUAAAGCGUGCGUAGGCGGUUUGUUAAGUCUGUUGUGAAAUCCCCGGGCUCAACCUGGGAAUGGCAAUGGAUACUGGCAAGCUAGAGUGUGUCAGAGGAUGGUGGAAUUCCCGGUGUAGCGGUGAAAUGCGUAGAGAUCGGGAGGAACAUCAGUGGCGAAGGCGGCCAUCUGGGACAACACUGACGCUGAGGCACGAAAGCGUGGGGAGCAAACAGGAUUAGAUACCCGGGUAGUCCCUGUCUCUUAUAC
rnacentral:rRNA from 1 species